UAGUCCACGCCCUAAACGAUGUCAACUAGUUGUUGGGGAUUCAUUUCCUUAGUAACGUAGCUAACGCGUGAAGUUGACCGCCUGGGGAGUACGGUCGCAAGAUUAAAACUCAAAGGAAUUGACGGGGACCCGCACAAGCGGUGGAUGAUGUGGAUUAAUUCGAUGCAACGCGAAAAACCUUACCUACCCUUGACAUGGUCGGAACCCUGCUGAAAGGUGGGGGUGCCUACGGAAGC
rnacentral:rRNA from 1 species